UUGCGUGGAAAAUAAGUGGAAAGACACUAAAUAAAAAAGAGACAAGCACUUGCAGUAAUAACAAUACAGGUAAGUAGUAGACUGGAGUGGAGACGACGGAAAAACAGGUAAUAAAAGAGAUACUACACUGGAACAAAGACGAGACAAAACAGCUACAGGGAAGACUAGAAGCAUCGGCCGGCAUAGCAAAACACAAUGCUUGUAAAGACAUUGCGUUGCAUACCGGCCGACCCCGUCGUCCCCCCUGGUCGUCGAAAUUGGCGUCAUCCAGAGUCGUCAGAGGUAGCUGCAAUUAGCACCUCGUCGUCGUUGUGGCUGUGGCUGCCCUCUUGGAGAACCAGUGGCACUGGUCCGGCCACCAGCUGGGAGUCAGGAGUAGACGGCACACAUAUCACUGUGGCGACACGGGUCCGGCCGCCAAAGUGAAAUGGAUUGGCAGAGAUGUGUCCAAUUAGUACACAGCGUUCCAGGAUAUCUGGUUGUCAAGAAGGUACCUCAUGUUGCGGGCGUAGGCCUUAAUGCCAUCCAUGGAGUCGUCAUCUGUCCACAUCUCAUCGUCAUCAUUUUCUUCGUCCGUUUCAGGAUCCGUCUCUGGAGUGGUGGCUGGCGUUGGCGUUUUUUGUGGUGGCUGUGGAGCUGGGGCA
rnacentral:sRNA from 15 species